GACGAACGCUGGCGGCGUGCUUAACACAUGCAAGUCGUACGGUAAGGCCCUUUCGGGGGUACACGAGUGGCGAACGGGUGAGUAACACGUGAGUAACCUGCCCACAACUUUGGGAAACGCUAGGAAACUGGUGCUAAUACUGGAUAUGUGCUCCUGCUGCAUGGUGGGGGUUGGAAAGCUCCGGCGGUUGUGGAUGGACUCGCGGCCUAUCAGCUUGUUGGUGGGGUAGUGGCCUACCAAGGCGGCGACGGGUAGCCGGCCUGAGAGGGUGACCGGCCACAUUGGGACUGAGAUACGGCCCAGACUCCUACGGGAGGCAGCAGUGGGGAAUAUUGCACAAUGGGCGCAAGCCUGAUGCAGCAACGCCGCGUGCGGGAUGACGGCCUUCGGGUUGUAAACCGCUUUCAGCAGGGACGAAGCUUUUUGUGACGGUACCUGCAGAAGAAGCACCGGCUAACUACGUG
rnacentral:rRNA from 1 species